UUGGAGGGCAAGUCUGGUGCCAGCAGCCGCGGUAAUUCCAGCUCCAAUAGCGUAUAUUAAAGUUGUUGCAGUUAAAAAGCUCGUAGUUGAAUUUCGGGGUUAGUAGGUUGGUCAUGCCACUGGUAUGUACUGGUCUCACUGAUUCCUCCUUCCUGAUGAGCCGUAAUGCCAUUAAUUUGGUGUUGCGAGGAAUCUGGACUGUUACUUUGAAAAAAUUAGAGUGUUUAAAGCAAGCUAACGCUUGAAUACAUUAGCAUGGAAUAAUGAAAUAGGACGUUCGAUCCUAUUUUGUUGGUUUCUAGGAUUGACGUAAUGACUAAUAGGGAUAGUUGGGGGCAUUAGUAUUCAAUUGUCAGAGGUGAAAUUCUUGGAUUUAUUGAAGACUAACUACUGCGAAAGCAUUUGCCAAGGAUGUUUUCAUUAAUCAAGAACGAAAGUUAGGGGAUCGAAGACGAUCAGAUACCGUCGUAGUCUUAACCAUAAACUAUGCCGACUAGGGAUCGGAUGAUGUUAAUUUUUUAAUGACUCAUUCGGCGCCUUACGGGAAAC
rnacentral:rRNA from 1 species